rnacentral:rRNA from 1 species
CGAAGGGGCUAGCGUUACUCGGAAUUACUGGGCGUAAAGGGCGCGUAGGCGGCUUGGUAAGUCAGGCGUGAAAUUCCCGGGCUCAACCUGGGGACUGCGCUUGAGACUGCUGGGCUAGAGGAUGGAAGAGGGUCGUGGAAUUCCCAGUGUAGAGGUGAAAUUCGUAGAUAUUGGGAAGAACACCGGUGGCGAAGGCGGCGACCUGGUCCAUUACUGACGCUGAGGCGCGACAGCGUGGGGAGCAAACAGGAUU